rnacentral:rRNA from 1 species
AUACAGAGGGUGCGAGCGUUAAUCGGAAUUACUGGGCGUAAAGCGCGCGUAGGCGGCUACUUAAGUCAGAUGUGAAAUCCCCGGGCUCAACCUGGGAACUGCAUCUGAUACUGGGUAGCUAGAGUUUAGGAGAGGGAAGUAGAAUUUCAGGUGUAGCGGUGAAAUGCAUAGAGAUCUGAAGGAAUACCAGUGGCGAAGGCGACUUCCUGGCCAAAAACUGACGCUGAGGUGCGAAAGCGUGGGUAGCAAACGGGAUUAGAUACCCCAGUAGUCC